UUCAAAACCAAGUGUUUAUAACAUAUCUAAGAACAAUAGCUGUUAACAUAGCUUCAACUUGUAAUAUCCUAUUGAGCAUAGUAUAUUUAUCCACCUUAUCUUUUUCUUUUUCAGCCGACGGCCCCGCAAUAAUUCUAUUCAACUUUUCUUCUUCUCCAUCCUUUCCCUCAACGAGCUCCUUGAUAAUCAAGUUUACCUUUUCAAUCUACGAAACAACCAAUAAAGAAAAUCCAAAAGUCAGAAUGAAAGAAAACUGAUAACGGGUCAAGUUGGUUGAGGAAGAACAAAACCUAAUCUUAGUUAUACACUUCUAGUUUGUAUAACGAGUUUAUCAAAUUCAUUAGCUUGCUCCUACAGGGACAAAAGGGAAUAAAGAUAAGUACAAAUUAUUCAGAUUUAUUUAAUUUAAGAACCCAGUCCAACUCAUAUAACAUACCCUAUUAUCAACUACAAUAUUUUUCUAUCAUUCAGCAUAGAAUAACAGAGUAGCACAUAUUGAAGUUUUCUCCAACUCUUUCUUCUUACAUGCCCAUUAUUAUAGUUACAACUAAUGUUUUAUUUCCUAAAUAUAAUUAGCAAAAUAAAUAAACCAACAUACCCGUUAUUUUAGUUAUAACUAAUGUUUUUUCCUAAACAUAAUUAGCAUAACUAAACUAACAUACCUGUAUUAUAGUUAUAACUGAUGCCAUAUUAUCAUUGGAGAGUUGAGACCAUUAAACAGGUAGUUUUUGGUCUUGUCUUCUAUCCUACCUAUGGACCACUAGCCAUAUAAGCACACUCUAUCUUCAGAGAUAGAUAAUCCCAUUCAUUUCUUGUUAGCAUAAUUUAAAAGGAUGGGGACUCUAUUAACAUAAUAUCAAGUGAAAAAUAGUCUUCAACAUCAUUAUUAGCUUGUAGAUGGGUGGGCUAGUUGAUGGCUUUAUAGAGACCCCAAUGGUAAGAACUUGGUGA
rnacentral:lncRNA from 1 species